rnacentral:lncRNA from 1 species
AGAUCCACGGUGGAGGAGACGUCUCCCGAGGCCACGCGCCGUCGCUGAACCGGAGUCACCGGAGAUCUAGAAAGGGGAAAAUCAGAUCUGGUUUCUCCGUAAGCCCUAAAAGCCGACUCCUUUCCACACCACCGUCAAGUUGGUCUCGCCGCUACUCCAGAGACCGGAUCUCACCACCGUUUGUCUCAAGAAGAAAACUUAAGGUGGAUUUGCCGAGCCAGAGCAUCGAGCAUCUCGACCAGCGUCAAGUGGGGGGAAGGG